UACGUAGGGUGCGAGCGUUGUCCGGAAUUAUUGGGCGUAAAGAGCUUGUAGGCGGUUUGUCGCGUCUGCUGUGAAAAUCCGGGGCUCAACCCCGGACUUGCAGUGGGUACGGGCAGACUAGAGUGUGGUAGGGGAGACUGGAAUUCCUGGUGUAGCGGUGAAAUGCGCAGAUAUCAGGAGGAACGCCGAUGGCGAAGGCAGGUCUCUGGGCCACUACUGACGCUGAGAAGCGAAGGCAUGGGGAGCGAACAGGAUUAGAUACCCCCGUA
rnacentral:rRNA from 1 species